GACGAACGCUGGCGGCGUGCUUAACACAUGCAAGUCGAACGGAAAGGCCUCUUUCGUGUGGUACUCGAGUGGCGAACGGGUGAGUAACACAUGAGUAACCUGCCCUUGACUUUGGGAUAACUUCAGGAAACUGGGGCUAAUACCUGCUAGGUGCUCCUGCUGCAUGGUGGGGUUUGGAAAGUUUCGGCGGUUGGGGAUAGACUCGCGGCUUAUCAGCUUGUUGGUGGGGUAGUGGCUUACCAAGGCUUUGACGGGUAGCCGGCCUGAGAGUGUGACCGGCCACAUUGCGACUGAGAGACGGCGCAGACGGCUACCGGAGGCAGCAGAGGGGAAUAUUGCACAAUGGGGGGAAGCCUGAUGCAGCAACGCCGUGUGCGGGAUGACGGCCUUCGGGUUGAAAACCGCGUUCGCUCAGGACGAAGCUUUGUGUGACGGUAGUGAGUAAAGAAGCAACGGCUAACUACGUG
rnacentral:rRNA from 1 species